GCUAUGAUGGUCAAAUGGUUAAGGUGUUGGACUGUAUAUCCAAGAGAGUUUCCCUGUACAGGUUUGAAUCUUGUUCGCAGUG
rnacentral:tRNA from 1 species